CACGAGGUACUAAGCUCCUGCUUUCAGCGCCUGCAGUGAAGAUGUCCCACCCAUCCCCAGCAGCCAAGCCCUCCAAUUCCAAGAACCCACGAGUCUUCUUUGACGUGGACAUCGGCGGGGAGCGAGCUGGACGAAUUGUUUUAGAAUUGUUUGCAGAUAUUGUUCCCAAAACUGCAGAAAAUUUUCGUGCAUUGUGUACAGGAGAAAAAGGAACUGGUGCCACAACUGGGAAACCUCUCCAUUUUAAAGGAUGCCCUUUCCACCGAAUUAUUAAGAAAUUUAUGAUUCAGGGUGGAGACUUCUCAAAUCAGAAUGGGACAGGUGGAGAAAGUAUUUAUGGUGAAAAAUUUGAAGAUGAAAAUUUUCAUUAUAAGCAUGAUCGAGAGGGUUUGCUGAGCAUGGCAAAUGCAGGCCCCAAUACGAAUGGUUCUCAGUUCUUUAUCACAACAGUUCCAACUCCUCAUUUGGAUGGGAAACAUGUGGUAUUUGGUCAAGUAAUAAAAGGACUCGGUGUGGCAAGGAUGCUUGAAAAGGUAGAAGUGAAUGGUGAAAAACCUGCCAAACUCUGUGUCAUUGAAGAAUGUGGAGAACUGAAGGAAGGGGAUGACUGGGGAAUAUUCCCCAAAGAUGGCUCUGGCGAUAGUCAUCCAGACUUCCCCGAGGAUGCGGAUAUAGAUGUAAAAGAUGUAGAUAAAAUUUUAUUAAUAUCUGAAGACUUAAAAAACAUUGGAAAUACUUUUUUCAAGUCUCAGAACUGGGAGAUGGCUAUUAAAAAAUAUGCAAAGGUUUUAAGGUAUGUGGAUAGUUCAAAGGCUGCUAUUGAGAAAGCAGAUAUACCCAGACUGCAACCUAUAGCCUUAAGUUGUGUACUGAAUAUUGGUGCUUGUAAAUUGAAGAUGUCAAAUUGGCAGGGGGCAAUUGACAGUUGCUUGGAGGCUCUUGAAAUGGACCCUUCGAAUACUAAAGCACUAUACCGAAAAGCGCAAGGAUGGCAAGGAUUAAAAGAAUACGAUCAAGCAUUGGCUGAUCUUAAGAAGGCACAGGAGAUAGCCCCAGGAGAUAAAGCUAUCCAGGCAGAAUUGCUUAAAGUCAAACAAAUGAUAAAGGCACAGAAAGAUAAAGAGAAGGCUGUGUAUGCAAAAAUGUUUGCUUAAUAAGGACUAAACUCUCCUUAACUAUUAAACAUUGAUUAUAAAAAGGACAAUGUAUAUUACUGUCCACACGAUCCCUGAUGUGUUCCCCUUGAUCUUUGUCAUUGUUUACAUAGCAGUGCUGACAUAGGUUCCUUCUUAAUAAAGUGUUGGCGAAAUAAAAAAAAAA